GCAAGUCGAGCGGUAACAGAAAGUAGCUUGCUACUUUGCUGACGAGCGGCGGACGGGUGAGUAAUGCUUGGGAACAUGCCUUGAGGUGGGGGACAACAGUUGGAAACGACUGCUAAUACCGCAUAAUGUCUACGGACCAAAGGGGGCUUCGGCUCUCGCCUUUAGAUUGGCCCAAGUGGGAUUAGCUAGUUGGUGAGGUAACGGCUCACCAAGGCAUCGACGGGUAGCUGGUCUGAGAGGAUGAUC
rnacentral:rRNA from 1 species